UACGAAGGGUGCAAGCGUUACUCGGAAUUACUGGGCGUAAAGCGUGCGUAGGUGGUUUGUUAAGUCUGUUGUGAAAGCCCCGGGCUCAACCUGGGAAUGGCAAUGGAUACUGGCAGGCUGGAGUGCGGUAGAGGGUAGUGGAAUUCCCGGUGUAGCGGUGAAAUGCGUAGAGAUCGGGAGGAACACCAGUGGCGAAGGCGGCUACCUGGACCAGCACUGACACUGAGGCACGAAAGCGUGGGGAGCAAACAGG
rnacentral:rRNA from 1 species